CGACCAUCCCUGUCCAUGCACAACACCUCCCUGUGCUCCAUCCCCUCCGCUCUCAGCUCACCUUUCUUCCUACAGAGAAAAACAAUGAUGACAGAUGACCCAACCAGAAUUGUGACGACCACAGCCAGAGCCACCUUCCAGGGAUGGACGAUCUGGGAAAAGGGAUCUGGAAAAGACAUCAGGACAAGGGUUCCUUUUCCAUUGCCUUAUGUGGACAAGCAUGACUUCAACUUCUGGAGAUCACAGAACCCGAAGGGGCAACAACCAGGGAGCAGUGACACACAAUGGCAGCGCUCCCCAUAUUGACACAGGUGGAGGAGCUGCUCAGCAUUGUGUGCCCACUGCCACUGAGCCAUGGAGAAACCCAUCCCAGAAACCCAACCCAACCACCUCAUCCAUGCAGAUCCAUUUUCAAAUCACACCAUGUGCCCGUUCCAACUCUAGCAUCUCAUGGAGCAAUUCAGCCCCAGCCUCUUCCAAAGGCUGCUGUCCUUCAGCUCUCCAUCCAUGGACGUGAGGAUGAGGAUGGACAGAGGUUGGAUGGGACACACAAACCCAGGGACACCUCGAGAUGUCACCCCAGCCACUGACCUGACACCUCCAGGUUCACCACAGCUUCUGCAUAGCCAUCGUCAUCUUGCACAACACAGCUGUACAAGCCACUGUCAGAGGAGCUCACAGCAAUGAUGCGCAAAUCCAGGUUUCCAUCAGAGAGACCAUCCCUGAGCAGUUCUGUCCUCCCUUUAUAUUCCUCCAUCUGAUCCAGGUCCAAUCCAUUUUGGUAGUGGUGCACAAUCCUAGAGGACCGCAGCUGGAUCCAUCUGAUGUCUGAAUUCCGAACAUCCUUGCAAGGGGACAAGUGGCAGCGCAGCUCGACAUCCUGUCCCACGAUGGCAGUGACACGGAGGCUCGGUGCCACCACCGUGCUCUGGGCUGGGCAAUGAGAAGGGCAUGGAGAGAUGGUGAGAUGGUGUCUGUGUUAAUGUGGGGGCAUGGAGCGGCACAGGCUCAUUGGAGGGAGCCUUGUUCAGUUGGAAACGCCACGCAUGGUGAGAAGGGUCGGCUUCUUAUCCGACAGCCAGAGCCCCUUUGGUUCCGGGAUGAAGACUCAGCCUGUUCCAAGGAACCAAACCCCAAUAACUGCUCACAAUCAAUGAUCCAUUGCCAUCAGCAG